GACGAACGCUGGCGGCGUGCUUAACACAUGCAAGUCGAACGGAAAGGCCCUGCUUUUGUGGGGUGCUCGAGUGGCGAACGGGUGAGUAACACGUGAGUAACCUGCCCUUGACUUUGGGAUAACUUCAGGAAACUGGGGCUAAUACCGGAUAGGAGCUCCUGCUGCAUGGUGGGGGUUGGAAAGUUUCGGCGGUUGGGGAUGGACUCGCGGCCUAUCCGCUUGUUGGUGGGGUAGUGGCUUACCCAGGCCUUGACGGGUAGCCGGCCUGAGAGGGGGACCGGGCACAUUGGGAGUGAGAUACGGCGCAGACGCCGACGGGAGGCAGCAGUGGGGAGGAUGGCACAGUGGGCGGAAGCCUGAUGCAGCAGCGCGGCGUGCGGGAUGACGGCGUGCGGGGUGUAAACCGCUUUGGCCUGGGACGAAGCGUGAGUGACGGUAAUGGGUAAAGAAGCACCGGCUAACUACGUG
rnacentral:rRNA from 1 species